rnacentral:rRNA from 1 species
UACGUAGGGUGCGAGCGUUGUCCGGAAUUAUUGGGCGUAAAGAGCUCGUAGGCGGUUUGUCGCGUCGGCUGUGAAAUCCCGAGGCUCAACCUCGGGCCUGCAGUCGAUACGGGCAAACUAGAGUGUGGUAGGGGAGACUGGAAUUCCUGGUGUAGCGGUGAAAUGCGCAGAUAUCAGGAGGAACACCGGUGGCGAAGGCGGGUCUCUGGGCCGAUACUGACGCUGAGGAGCGAAAGCGUGGGGAGCGAACAGG